rnacentral:rRNA from 1 species
UACGUAGGUGGCAAGCGAUGUCCGGAUUUACUGGGUGUAAAGGGCGUGCAGCCGGGCUGACAAGUCAGAUGUGAAAUCCCGCGGCUCAACCGCGGAACUGCAUUUGAAACUGUCAGUCUUGAGUACCGGAGAGGUCAUCGGAAUUCCUUGUGUAGCGGUGAAAUGCGUAGAUAUAAGGAAGAACACCAGUGGCGAAGGCGGAUGACUGGACGGCAACUGACGGUGAGGCGCGAAAGCGUGGGGAGCAAACAGG